rnacentral:rRNA from 1 species
AGAGUUUGAUCAUGGCUCAGGAUGAACGCUGGCGGCGUGCUUAACACAUGCAAGUCGAACGAACCUUCGGGUUAGUGGCGGACGGGUGAGUAACGCGUGAGAAUCUGCCCUCAGGAGGGGGACAACAGCUGGAAACGGCUGCUAAUACUCCAUAUGCCGCGAGGUGAAAUGAAUUUCGCCUGAGGAUGAGCUCGCGUCUGAUUAGCUAGUUGGUGUAGGUAAUGGCUCACCAAGGCAUCGAUCAGUAGCUGGUCUGAGAGGAUGAUCAGCCACACUGGGACUGAGACACGGCCCAGACUCCUACGGGAGGCAGCAGUGGGGAAUUUUCCGCAAUGGGCGAAAGCCUGACGGAGCAACGCCGCGUGAGGGAUGAAGGCCUCUGGGCUGUAAACCUCUUUUAUCAAGGAAGAAGAUCUGACGGUACUUGAUGAAUAAGCCACGGCUAAUUCCGUGCCAGCAGCCGCGGUAAUACGGGAGUGGCAAGCGUUAUCCGGAAUUAUUGGGCGUAAAGCGUCCGCAGGCGGCCCUUCAAGUCUGCUGUUAAAAAGUGGAGCUUAACUCCAUCAUGGCAGUGGAAACUGUUAGGCUUGAGUGUGGUAGGGGCAGAGGGAAUUCCCGGUGUAGCGGUGAAAUGCGUAGAUAUCGGGAAGAACACCAGUGGCGAAGGCGCUCUGCUGGGCCAUCACUGACGCUCAUGGACGAAAGCCAGGGGAGCGAAAGGGAUUAGAUACCCCUGUAGUCCUGGCCGUAAACGAUGAACACUAGGUGUCGGGGGAAUCGACCCCCUCGGUGUCGUAGCCAACGCGUUAAGUGUUCCGCCUGGGGAGUACGCACGCAAGUGUGAAACUCGAAGGAAUUGACGGGGGCCCGCACAAGCGGUGGAGUAUGUGGUUUAAUUCGAUGCAACGCGAAGAACCUUACCAGGGUUUGACAUCCUGCGAAUCUCUUGGAAACAGGAGAGUGCCUUCGGGAACGCAGUGACAGGUGGUGCAUGGCUGUCGUCGGCUCGUGUCGUGGGAUGUUGGGUUAAGUCCCGCAACGAGCGCAACCCACGUCUUUAGUUGCCAGCAUUUAGUUGGGCACUCUAGAGAGACUGCCGGUGAUAAACCGGAGGAAGGUGUGGAUGACGUCAAGUCAUCAUGCCCCUUACAUCCUGGGCUACACACGUACUACAAUGCUACGGACAAAGGGCAGCAAGUUCGCGAGGACAAGCAAAUCCCAUAAACCGUGGCUCAGUUCAGAUCGUAGGCUGCAACUCGCCUACGUGAAGGCGGAAUCGCUAGUAAUCGCAGGUCAGCAUACUGCGGUGAAUACGUUCCCGGGCCUUGUACACACCGCCCGUCACACCAUGGAAGUUGGCCACGCCCGAAGCCGUUACUCCAACCCUUGUGGAGGAGGACGUCGAAGGUGGGGCUGAUGACUGGGGUGAAGUCGUAACAAGGUA